UACGGAGGGUGCAAGCGUUAUCCGGAUUCACUGGGUUUAAAGGGAGCGUAGGUGGCUUUGUAAGUCAGUGGUGAAAUAUUGCGGCUCAACCGCAAAACUGCCAUUGAUACUGCUUAGCUUGAAUCACGUCGAGGUGGAUGGAAUAAUACAUGUAGCGGUGAAAUGCUUAGAUAUGUAUUAGAACACCGAUUGCGAAGGCAGUUCACUAGGCGUGUAUUGACACUGAGGCUCGAAAGCGUGGGGAUCAAACAG
rnacentral:rRNA from 1 species